UCUUCACUCUUCAUCCCCUUAAAUAAUACUAUGAAAUAAUAAAAAAUAAAUAUAAUAAAUAAACUUUAUUGUUUUGUGACUCAGAACGUGCGCAAGAGUUGGUGCGGUGUCUAAAAAAUCGCUCAGCAAGCUGGCUCAUGCCCGCCAACAGAAUGAGGUGGCCGGUGCGCGCGUAUCGCGCAAACAUAAGUUUUUUCAUCUUCAUCAUGUUUAUGGUGUUUGCAGUCAUAUUCCUAACCCAACUUCUGUUACUUGAAAGGCCCAGCCAAAGGAUACUUAGAUCUAGAUACGAGGAAAUCCAGGGUUGGGAUAGUAAAAUAGAAAAUGGAGGCGGAGAUAGAGGAGAGAUGACGCCACCAGUGCAACACCCGCAGGACGGAGUAUGGCAAAGAGUGGCCGGGACUAGAUUUAAAUUCUACGUGUAUUCCGCUUUCAUCGAGAUGAGAACGGUAGCGGCCGUGCGCAUAAUCGCAGCGACUAAAACUCGGGGUGCGGACCCUGUCGUCUGUCGCUUGUGGCUGCCAGACAAUCGCACGGUCACACUCAAGGCUAGAGUCAAGGCUAUCCGGGAGAAUUGGAAUCUGAAAUACAGCGCGACAUACGUGUUAUGUCUGCUUAGCGAUUCCGGGGUUCACAUCCGCGAGGCCGUGGGCGCGUCCGUGUCGGUGUUGGCGAGCACUUUGGCUGAUAAACCACAAACUAAUAUGCUUACUGUUCUUGAUACAAAACCUAUGAGUGAUGUUCUGGAAAAACUGCACGUAUGCGUGAAGCCGCUUCACUCUUCUUUCUCUCGUUCCAACUGGCUCAUAGAAUGGUUCGAGUUCAACCGGCUACUGGGCGCGAGUCACUUCUAUAUGUACAACGUGUCGUUGAGUUCGUCUGUCGCUUGCGUACUGGAUUACUAUCAAAGGAGGGGGCUCAUCACGCUUAUGCCGUGGAAACUACCAUUGGUGUCUUUAGUAGAAAUCAGAACGCAGGGGCAAUUCGCAGCGUUCAACGACUGCCUGUAUCGGUCGAUGCGAACCGCCGACUGGCUGCUGGUUAUCGAUGUCGAUGAACUAGUGCUGCCCCGCCUAGACCGGACGAUACCCGACAUGUUAUCCAUUGCGCGCUCCAAGUAUCGCUGGAAUAUGAAGACUCCGUCAGCUUUUCUUUUUAGAAACUCCUUCUUCUAUUUACAUUGGAUGGACGACCCCGACAACAAGGCGCCGCUACUCACCGCGCGCAAGACGCGGCGGCGCGCCACUCCGCUGCCCGUGAAGAACCGCAGCAAGUACGCCGUGCGGCCGCGGGACGUGCUGGAGCUGGGGAACCACUUCGUGUGGGAGCACGCGCCCGGCGCGCUCUCCGCCGGCAUGGCGCCCGAGCGCGCCCUGCUGCACCACUACAGGGUGACUGCCGCAUGUCACGUAUGCUAGUGUCUGCUGUAGCAGUAGCGAGCUGGGGAACCACUUCGUGUGGGAGCACGCGCCCGGCGCGCUCUCCGCCGGCAUGGCGCCCGAGCGCGCCCUGCUGCACCACUACAGGGUGACUGCCGCAUGUCACGUAUGCUAGUGUCUGCUGUAGCAGUAGCGAGCUGGGGAACCACUUCGUGUGGGAGCACGCGCCCGGCGCGCUCUCCGCCGGCAUGGCGCCCGAGCGCGCCCUGCUGCACCACUACAGGGUGACUGCCGCAUGUCACGUAUGCUAGUGUCUGCUGUAGCAGUAGCGAGCUGGGGAACCACUUCGUGUGGGAGCACGCGCCCGGCGCGCUCUCCGCCGGCAUGGCGCCCGAGCGCGCCCUGCUGCACCACUACAGGGUGACUGCCGCAUGUCACGUAUGCUAGUGUCUGCUGUAGCAGUAGCGAGCUGGGGAACCACUUCGUGUGGGAGCACGCGCCCGGCGCGCUCUCCGCCGGCAUGGCGCCCGAGCGCGCCCUGCUGCACCACUACAGGGUGACUGCCGCAUGUCACGUAUGCUAGUGUCUGCUGUAGCAGUAGCGAGCUGGGGAACCACUUCGUGUGGGAGCACGCGCCCGGCGCGCUCUCCGCCGGCAUGGCGCCCGAGCGCGCCCUGCUGCACCACUACAGGGUGACUGCCGCAUGUCACGUAUGCUAGUGUCUGCUGUAGCAGUAGCGAGCUGGGGAACCACUUCGUGUGGGAGCACGCGCCCGGCGCGCUCUCCGCCGGCAUGGCGCCCGAGCGCGCCCUGCUGCACCACUACAGGGUGACUGCCGCAUGUCACGUAUGCUAGUGUCUGCUGUAGCAGUAGCGAGCUGGGGAACCACUUCGUGUGGGAGCACGCGCCCGGCGCGCUCUCCGCCGGCAUGGCGCCCGAGCGCGCCCUGCUGCACCACUACAGGGUGACUGCCGCAUGUCACGUAUGCUAGUGUCUGCUGUAGCAGUAGCGAGCUGGGGAACCACUUCGUGUGGGAGCACGCGCCCGGCGCGCUCUCCGCCGGCAUGGCGCCCGAGCGCGCCCUGCUGCACCACUACAGGGUGACUGCCGCAUGUCACGUAUGCUAGUGUCUGCUGUAGCAGUAGCGAGCUGGGGAACCACUUCGUGUGGGAGCACGCGCCCGGCGCGCUCUCCGCCGGCAUGGCGCCCGAGCGCGCCCUGCUGCACCACUACAGGGUGACUGCCGCAUGUCACGUAUGCUAGUGUCUGCUGUAGCAGUAGCGAGCUGGGGAACCACUUCGUGUGGGAGCACGCGCCCGGCGCGCUCUCCGCCGGCAUGGCGCCCGAGCGCGCCCUGCUGCACCACUACAGGGUGACUGCCGCAUGUCACGUAUGCUAGUGUCUGCUGUAGCAGUAGCGAGCUGGGGAACCACUUCGUGUGGGAGCACGCGCCCGGCGCGCUCUCCGCCGGCAUGGCGCCCGAGCGCGCCCUGCUGCACCACUACAGGGUGACUGCCGCAUGUCACGUAUGCUAGUGUCUGCUGUAGCAGUAGCGAGCUGGGGAACCACUUCGUGUGGGAGCACGCGCCCGGCGCGCUCUCCGCCGGCAUGGCGCCCGAGCGCGCCCUGCUGCACCACUACAGGGUGACUGCCGCAUGUCACGUAUGCUAGUGUCUGCUGUAGCAGUAGCGAGCUGGGGAACCACUUCGUGUGGGAGCACGCGCCCGGCGCGCUCUCCGCCGGCAUGGCGCCCGAGCGCGCCCUGCUGCACCACUACAGGGUGACUGCCGCAUGUCACGUAUGCUAGUGUCUGCUGUAGCAGUAGCGAGCUGGGGAACCACUUCGUGUGGGAGCACGCGCCCGGCGCGCUCUCCGCCGGCAUGGCGCCCGAGCGCGCCCUGCUGCACCACUACAGGGUGACUGCCGCAUGUCACGUAUGCUAGUGUCUGCUGUAGCAGUAGCGAGCUGGGGAACCACUUCGUGUGGGAGCACGCGCCCGGCGCGCUCUCCGCCGGCAUGGCGCCCGAGCGCGCCCUGCUGCACCACUACAGGGUGACUGCCGCAUGUCACGUAUGCUAGUGUCUGCUGUAGCAGUAGCGAGCUGGGGAACCACUUCGUGUGGGAGCACGCGCCCGGCGCGCUCUCCGCCGGCAUGGCGCCCGAGCGCGCCCUGCUGCACCACUACAGGGUGACUGCCGCAUGUCACGUAUGCUAGUGUCUGCUGUAGCAGUAGCGAGCUGGGGAACCACUUCGUGUGGGAGCACGCGCCCGGCGCGCUCUCCGCCGGCAUGGCGCCCGAGCGCGCCCUGCUGCACCACUACAGGGCAUCGUGCGAGAGCGAAGACAUGUCGUGUUUAGGCAUGCCGUCCACCGUAGACCGCACCGCCCACCGCUGGACCGACGAGCUACUGUUGCGAGUCCAGGAUGUACAGAAUCAGAUUAAGUCGUCUUACUGCUCGAAGUAAACCCCUAACUCAUUUGACUCUCACUCAAUUGACAAAUAAUGUAUUUAUGGUACCUACUUCGCAAUUGUGUGUCUAGGUAGGCUAAAUAUAUAGGCUAGAAAAAAUGUAUUGGUUGAAGGUGAAUUAUAGUCUCUGGGUGAUUGAUUGAAAGACCAUGUUAAAUCACCCUGAGCAAGUCACCGGUGGUGCAAUUUAUCUUGCUAUGAAAUCAAAGAGAAACGUCAUUUCCUAUGCUGACUAUGGCAAGGGCGUAGGUGUAACUAUGAAAGCAGGAGUAUGACAAAUAUACAGUACAUUUCUUUAGGUACUGAAAUAAAGGUAAACAAUCUUGAUUUCUCCUCUAAUCAAAAAAUACAUUUCUAAAUUAACUAUAGUUAAAAAAUAGCAAGUCAUGUGUCAUCAUCGUCAUCAUUACCUUUUGUUUUGUCUUCUCAUAGAAAAAAAAUAUAUUUUAUGUAUAAAUGUUAUGCAUAAGACGUUUCGCCUUUAUAUCCAUGCCUAAAAAAAUUAACUCAAGUUGGAUAUACAAAGAUCGUUUAUGGUUACACCUUAAUGUAAGAAAAGGUAAAAGCGACAAGCACGAUGUUACGAGAACAGACUCGCGGGCAAAAGCUAGUAGAUUCAUGUUUAUAAAAGAAACAUUCUGUAAUCUCUUUAUAAUUUUACUGAGUUCACCUGAACUAAAGGUACGUUUGAUUUGUAUGGCAAAAUAUUAUGUGAUCCCACUUAUCAUUUUUAAAGUGUAAAGAAAAUAUCUGAUUUAUUAAAUAUUAAUGGAGUUAUGACUUAUAUCUCAUGACACUAUUGUUAGGUAAAAAGGCCACGAAGCUUUAAGCCCAUCUAGCUGGUCUAGUUCAAAAAAAUUGUGUGUUUUCGAAACUUUUUCGAACUUAUAUGGCUCAGAAAUAAUAUGGAAAUAUCUAAUUAGUUGUUAAAAAACCAGUGUCGUUCAACUGAAGUAGGUAAAUUAUUAUAUUGCUCUAUAUGUUGUUACUAGUCAUUUGAAAUUAUAAAACUGGAUUUGAUUAGAAAUGAUGAUUCUCGUAUAUUUUUUAAAGUUAAACUUUGUUCAGUAUAUUUUAUUUGACUUACAAGCAUAAGCCUUGAAUCUCCAUAAAACUUUACGAUAGUUCAUCUAUUAGUUUAGAAGAAAUACCAAAUGUUAUUUAUUGUAUUUGUUUUAAUACGUACAAAUUUGCCAAUGUUAUUUAAUUAAUCGUAGAAGUGACAAGUAUCUAUUAGAAUAGCUUUAUUGUUUGUUUAAUUACAUGUAUGGUAAAAAUUCAAUUUGUUUUUAGACAAAUCUCUUUGCAAUUGUGAUCUCAAAAUCUGUUUUUUAAUGUUCUGAUCUGAAGAAUACUGCGACCACUCACCUAUGCGGGACUAGGGAGGAAGGAUGAGAAUUAUUUGUCCGGUUAUCGGCCCGGUACAGUGAAGGUGAAAAACGCAUACAGAAAUAAUUUAUGUGUAUAUAAAUAUUAGACAAAUGGUAAAAUAAGAAGGACCAUUAUAAACCGUAUUUUAGUCCCAUUUACAAAUAAUAAUUUCAGUUAGUUGAUUAUUUUUCUACAUAGUUUAUUAUGUAAACGAAUACUUCGAAACAAACUUGAAGAAUGAAUUGUUAUGUUUUAUUUUCAAUUGGGUGUGUUUAUAACUUGCUCAAUCAUUGUUCUAUGACAUCAGUAUUAUUUUUAAAAGGAGAUUGGACGAGAUUUCUUUCAAAUGUAUGAUAAAUGAAAAGGUUAAAUUCGUGUGUAUGAUAUGUAGGAUUAAACUAAUAAGUAGUGGUUUUGUGUAAAAAAUCAAAAUGUUUUGAUAUGGUUUAUAUAAUUACGACGCUGUUGACAUUUUGUAGAUCAAUACAAAUAUUUACAUGACAAUUAUUUUUUUUUAUAACCGUCAAAAACUGGCCAUUGCGUGAACUAUUUUAUAUAAGUAUCUUAUAUUUUAUAUAUUAUCCUAGCAGAUUUGUAUCUCAUUGUUUAAGUGUGCACUAAGCACCGAAACUUUAUAGCAAAUGUGAAUUGUACACACCCAAUUCGUUGUAAAUAUUACUAAAAAUUUCGUGAGUGGAAAAAUCUUGCGAUAGAAGAUAAAUUUAAUGAUGUUGCUUCGCUGGCAACGGGAUAUACAAAAAGUUCAGACAUUACACCUCUAUUCGUUGUAAUUUGCAUUAAAUUGCUAUCCUGAAGGCAUGCCAGAGGAGUGUUCAGUAACUCGAAGAUUUCUCUAAAAAAGUAUGCACAUUUUUUCUAGACCCAGACCUUUGAAGAGAAAUCUUUGUUAAAAAUCAUAGCGUAUAUGAUUGAAAGCACGCCCGUGUUUUAGUGUAAAAAGGAGUUAUUAAGUUUGACCAAAUAUUCGGUUAAUAACUUUUAGAAGUACAUUUUACUUUAAGAGUUUUAAUCCCAUUAUUUUAGUGAUAAAGUACACUCUGUACAGUAAGAAAUGAUUUUGCAUUUAUAAACGAAGUACGUUUAUUAAAAUACGCUACAAUUAAAUGCACGUUCCUAAAUAUUAUAAUAAUAAAUUUUAUUUAAUUGUUGUAUUUAUAAAAUUUGAAUUUAUUUAUGUUGCGGAACUCAUAGUUAUCUAUGAUUAUCUCUUUAAUAAUAAUUUUUCAAAUGAUUUAUUAUUUGAUUAUUAGUCGUUAUGAAUUUGGCGAUAAGAGCAUAAUUUGUGUACAAAUUCAAGAUAAUAUCUCUUAUUAUUGUGCAAUUGGUUGUAGAUUAUUAUGAGUGAAAUUAUGCAUAUUUAUUUAUUUAUGUUAACGUAAGUAAAUUUUAAAGUUAUGAACUACAUAUGUUCGUCACAAAGGCAAAAAUCGAUUUGAAAAAAUGGAAUUUAGUGUGCCCCUAAAAAGUAAUUAAAUCGCACAAUUAUUAGUUGAAUGUUUUUAAAUGAAAUAGAACAAAUGCGCUCAGAAAUGCCUAUACGUUGGGAUAAAUUGCCUUUAUUGUUUUUACUGCUUUAAGGCUCCGUCAAUAUGCACCAAUAAAUCUUACCCGAGAUAAAUGAAUGGAUGUUUGUGGAAUCGGUUCUAUACGCCACUUCACAAUUUAAUCACGUUGCAUCUCACCUCCAGGGCAGUUGCGCCAGAUUUUCGUGAUUGAAUCGUAAUGCAAUUUUGGCCGCUUCUCAAUAUUUUCACACUUUCGUCGUCAAUGAUAUUUUGUUUGUUAUACUGUUAAAAUUAUGUUUAUUUAAAAUGAUUUAAAGUUUUUGUUUUGAGAUUUUAUGCCGGUAUAGAUUGAAAUAAUGUAUCUUGCAAUAAAAUAUAGAUACUUUCGAUGAAGUAUAAUAAAUUUGAUUCAUAAUCAUAGUCGGCAGGUGACAAAAUGAGAUCUAUCAACCGUAUAAAGAAAAUAGCUGUAGGAUUAAUAACUGUGGUUUAGCCAUUCAUAUGAGAUAGAACACUACUUUUUUAUUCACUUUAUAACGCCUUUGUUCAAUUACUAGUGUCAAAAUUUUCGUUAUUAUAGCAAUAGAGUUUUAUAAUAAUAUCUUUAUCUAAGUACCUCUGUUGCUUUAUGAAAUAAUAAUGGUAUACACAUAUCAAUUACAGCUAUGGUAAUAUUUUGUUGUUAUUAUUUAGUAUACCUAAUGUAAUGAUCCUAAAAUUAAGUAUAAUUGUAUCCUAAGUAAUGAUAAAACGCAUAAGCUAUUAAUGUACAAAUUUUAAGAUUGGACUGUAAUGACAUGUAAUAUAAUGCUUAAUUGUUAUGUAUACACCAGGAUACAUAUUUAUCUGCCUCGUAAAAUCGCUCAGUUACCUCGAUUUAUUACUUAUUGCAACUUUUACUGCUACUAUUGUUUUAUCAUCAAAAAUAGUUUCAGGCCUAUUUAAAACUAUUUUUAGAAAAUGUUUCGUAACAAAUUUAUUGAUAAGGAUAAAAACCAAAAAUUUGAAUACAUUGUAUUAAAAAUCCUCUGGAAUUUGUCAGUUUUGUUCUGCUGGAUUGAGGGUAAAACUAAUAUUAUGCAUUUAAAUAUUUGCCUACAUAUUAUCGACAAUAUGUUACAGAAACCCUGUUCGAUUCGCAAACGUCAUGUUGGGAAGCUUGUGUGCCAGGGAAAAAAUAAAUUCCAGUUUUAAAAUUUUUUUUGUUGCUCUCCAUCCGUCCUUGAAUAUGCUGAAAAUUAGGAAAACAAAUUUAGAUUUCAGAUGAACAAUAUAACUUGUGUUUUUUAUUAUAUUAGCUAUCGCGCGGAGCCUAUUGGUAAUUUACAGAAAAAGUAGCGUUUGUUACAUCUGGAGAUAUGUAUGUAACUAUGGCAAAUAUCAUCAAAACGGGUCCAGUAGUUUUUAAGUUUAUUCGUUAUAAACAAUAAUAUUAAUCUUUUCUCUAUAGAAUAUUACACAUUGCAUUACAGAUUGGAGUGUGAUGGAUAUUUGUUUUUUUUUAGUAACUUGAUUCGUUGGUAGGUACGGUGUGCUCAGGAGAGAGUUGAUCCAACUCGCCUUGAUUAAUGUAUGGGAGGUGGCUCAGGUAUCUUUUGCCGUGUGCCCUUUUCGAAUCAGAGCGGGGUUUUACAACAUAUUGUAUGUUUAAUUAAUUUUGAAAACAGUGUUAAUCGUUAGUGGCAAAUAAUCUUUGUGUCUGUAUAUUUUAUCUGUGAUGUCUAUUUUAUAAAUGAAGGCUUGAUUUGUAUUUGACACCAAAAGGAUGUAAUUUGU
rnacentral:misc_RNA from 1 species